GAUGAACGCGGGCGGCGUGCCUAACACAUGCAAGUCGAGCGAGGGUUUGCUCAGUAUUGAGUAUUCUAAGUCUAGAAUGUUCAAUUCUGAGCAAAACCAAGCGGCGGACGGGUGAGUAACGCGUGGGUAACCUGCCCUAUACACAUGGAUAACAUACUGAAAAGUUUACUAAUACAUGAUAAUAUAUAUUUGCGGCAUCGCAGAUAUAUCAAAGUGUUAGCGGUAUAGGAUGGACCCGCGUCUGAUUAGCUAGUUGGUGAGAUAACUGCCCACCAAGGCGACGAUCAGUAGCCGACCUGAGAGGGUGAUCGGCCACAUUGGAACUGAGACACGGUCCAAACUCCUACGGGAGGCAGCAGUGGGGAAUAUUGCACAAUGGGCGAAAGCCUGAUGCAGCAACGCCGCGUGAACGAUGAAGGUCUUCGGAUCGUAAAGUUCUGUUGCAGGGGAAGAUAAUGACGGUACCCUGUGAGGAAGCCCCGGCUAACUACGUGCCAGCAGCCGCGGUAAUACGUAGGGGGCUAGCGUUAUCCGGAUUUACUGGGCGUAAAGGGUGCGUAGGUGGUCCUUCAAGUCGGUGGUUAAAGGCUACGGCUCAACCGUAGUAAGCCGCCGAAACUGGAGGACUUGAGUGCAGGAGAGGAAAGUGGAAUUCCCAGUGUAGCGGUGAAAUGCGUAGAUAUUGGGAGGAACACCAGUAGCGAAGGCGGCUUUCUGGACUGCAACUGACACUGAGGCACGAAAGCGUGGGUAGCAAACAGG
rnacentral:rRNA from 1 species